rnacentral:tRNA from 1 species
CAUUAAGUGACUGAAAGUAAGUAAUGGUCUCUUAAACCAAAAAAUGGUAAUUAACAAAUACCCUUAAUGA